rnacentral:rRNA from 1 species
AGUCGUACGAGAAAGCCGGGUGCUUGCACCUGGCGAGUAAAGUGGCGCACGGGUGAGUAACGCGUGAGUACCUACCCACGGGCCGGGGAUAACACGGCGAAAGCUGUGCUAAUACCGGAUACGACCUACGGGUGAAAGUCGGCCUCCCAAAGAAGCCGGCGCCCGCGGAGGGGCUCGCGUCCUACCAGCUAGUUGGUGAGGUAACGGCUCACCAAGGCGACGACGGGUAGCUGGUCUGAGAGGAUGAUCAGCCACACUGGCACUGGAACACGGGCCAGACUCCUACGGGAGGCAGCAGUGAGGAAUCUUGCGCAAUGGGGGAAACCCCGACGCAGCAACGCCGCGUGGGUGAAGAAGGCCUUCGGGUCGUAAAGCCCUGUCAGGAGUGAAGAAAGGUUGGGGAGCCAAUACCUUCCCGGCUUGACGGUAGCUCCAGAGGAAGCACCGGCUAACUCCGUGCCAGCAGCCGCGGUAA